GCUCUGCAUCUGCCAAGGCUAUGCAGGCCGUCCAUCUUGUGUGGUCAGCCGGGUUAUCCUCCUUCGGGAAACACGUUUAUGGGUUGGGCAUAACGCAGAGUAGUGUAAACAUCGAAACGCGUGGCCUGC
rnacentral:ncRNA from 1 species